rnacentral:rRNA from 1 species
UACGUAGGGUCCGAGCGUGUCCGGAAUUAUUGGGCGUAAAGAGCUCGUAGGCGGUUUGUCGCGUCUGCUGUGAAAUCCCGAGGCUCAACCUCGGGCCUGCAGUGGGUACGGGCAGACUAGAGUGGCGGUAGGGGAGAUUGGAAUUCCUGGUGUAGCGGUGGAAUGCGCAGAUAUCAGGAGGAACACCGAUGGCGAAGGCAGAUCUCUGGGCCCGUA